rnacentral:rRNA from 1 species
AGUGAACGCUGGCGGUAGGCCUAACACAUGCAAGUCGAACGGCAGCACAGUAAGAGCUUGCUCUUACGGGUGGCGAGUGGCGGACGGGUGAGGAAUACAUCGGAAUCUACUUUUUCGUGGGGGAUAACGUAGGGAAACUUACGCUAAUACCGCAUACGACCUACGGGUGAAAGCAGGGGAUCUUCGGACCUUGCGCGAUUGAAUGAGCCGAUGUCGGAUUAGCUAGUUGGCGGGGUAAGGCCCACCAAGGCGACGAUCCGUAGCUGGUCUGAGAGGAUGAUCAGCCACACUGGAACUGAGACACGGUCCAGACUCCGACGGGAGGCAGCAGUGGGGAAUAUUGGACAAUGGGCGCAAGCCUGAUCCAGCCAUACCGCGUGGGUGAAGAAGGCCUUCGGGUUGUAAAGCCCUUUUGUUGGGAAAGAAAAGCAGCAGGUUAAUACCCCGCUGUUCUGACGGUACCCAAAGAAUAAGCACCGGCUAACUUCGUG